UAUAUAUAUAUAUAUAUAUAUAUAUAUAUAUUUCCCUAGAUAAUUGUUAGUUCCCUCUUUUGCCUAUCGACUUCAAGCUCCAUGCUGCAAGAUGGUAUGAGUUUAAUAUAUUGACCCUUAUGGCGUCAUCUCGAGGCCCUGUUCUUUCCUU